rnacentral:misc_RNA from 1 species
AACUUCUCCAAGAAAUAUUCCGCCGCCUUCCUCCACCGUCUGCCGCCUCUGUUUCUUUAGUCUGUAAGCGGUGGCUUCAUCUUCUUCGUUCUUCAACUACUUCUCUUUCUAUCUGUUUUAUUGAAACCCCUUUGAUCCCUCUUUUCUCAUCUUUUCUCAGUUUUCAUCCUUUUUUAUCUACUCUUUCUGUUACCAUUACACAUAUACUAGAUUCCUCUGAUCAAUUGCUUAAUUCCGUUGCUUCUUCUUGCCCUAACCUACGACAUCUCCGAUUCUUG